AUAGUAACUGAUCGAACCCCUUCUUGGGGUAAAUCAUUCAAGUUUCUGCCCUAUCAGCUUUCGAUGGUAGUGUAUUGGACUACCAUGGCAGUCACGGGUAACGGAGAAUUAGGGUUCGGUUCCGGAGAGGGAGCCUGAGAAACGGCUACCACUUCUAAGGAAGGCAGCAGGCGCGUAAAUUACCCAAUCCUGAUUCAGGGAGGUAGUGACAAGAAAUAACAACCUGGAAGACUUUGUCUUUACAGGAUUGUAGUGAGAACAAUCUAAAAACUUUAUCGAGAACCAUUGGAGGGCAAGUCUGGUGCCAGCAGCCGCGGUAAUUCCAGCUCCAAUAGCGUAUAUUAAAGUUGUUGCAGUUAAAAAGCUCGUAGUUGAAUUUCUGUACAUUCCCGGUGCCGGCUCUUGUCGAACCGUGGAGUGUGCAUCCGCUUACAAACUUAGCCCGGUCUUCAUUGGUCGACUAAGGGAGUAGGCCCUUUACUUUGAAAAAAUUAGAGUGUUUCAAGCAGGCAAUGGCUCGAAUACAUUAGCAUGGAAUAAUGGAAUAGGACUGAGGUCCAUUUGGUUGGUUAUUGGACUUUAGU
rnacentral:rRNA from 1 species